UACGUAGGUGGCAAGCGUUGUCCGGAUUUACUGGGCGUAAAGAGCGCGCAGGCGGUCGUUCAAGUCGAGUGUGAAAGCCCCCGGCUCAACUGGGGAGGGUCACUCGAUACUGAUCGACUCGAAGGCAGAAGAGGGAAGCGGAAUUCCUGGUGUAGCGGUGAAAUGCGCAGAUAUCAGGAGGAACACCGAUGGCGAAGGCAGGUCUCUGGGCCACUACUGACGCUGAGAAGCGAAAGCGUGGGGAGCGAACAGG
rnacentral:rRNA from 1 species